rnacentral:misc_RNA from 2 species
AACGCACAUUGCGCCCCCUGGUAUUCCGGGGGGCACACCUGUUCGAGCGCCAUUUCAACCCUCAAGCCCCGCUUGGUGAUGGGUCCUGCCUGCGGGCGGGCCCGAAACUCGUGGGCGUCGUCGUUCGGCUCCAAGCGUAGCAAAACCCUCGCUUGGGCGCCCGGACGGCGGCCGCCCGGAACGAAUUUUUACAAGGUUGGCCUCGGAUCAGGUGGGGAUACCCGCUGAACUUAA